rnacentral:piRNA from 1 species
UGGACUUUUCCCUCCCGACCUGUGU